rfam:Acidianus hospitalis W1, complete genome.
AUUGUUGAUGAAAGGGAUUUGUCUGAGCAGUGAGGAAGUGGAGCGACACUGAGG